UACGUAGGGUGCGAGCGUUGUCCGGAAUUAUUGGGCGUAAAGGGGCUCGUAGGCGGUCUGUCGCGUCGGGAGUGAAAACUCAGGGCUUAACCCUGAGCCUGCUUCCGAUACGGGCAGACUAGAGGUAUGCAGGGGAGAACGGAAUUCCUGGUGUAGCGGUGAAAUGCGCAGAUAUCAGGAGGAACACCAGCGGCGAAGGCGGCGCUCUGGGCCGGUACUGACACUGAGGAGCGAAAGCGUGGGUAGCAAACAGG
rnacentral:rRNA from 1 species